CCGCCGGCGACCGGCGCACGGGUGAGUAACACGUAUGCAACCUGGCCGUGACAGAUGGAUAACCGGGAGAAAUCCCGCCUAAUACAACAUAAUGCCGGGAGGGGACAUCCCCUGCCGGCCAAAGGGGGCGACCCCGGUCACGGAUGGGCAUGCGGCGCAUUAGGUAGUUGGUGGGGCAGCGGCCCACCAAGCCGACGAUGCGUAGGGGUUCUGAGAGGAAGGUCCCCCACAUUGGAACUGAGACACGGUCCAAACUCCUACGGGAGGCAGCAG
rnacentral:rRNA from 1 species